UCUUACAUUUCUUAAAAAAAUAGGUUACUUCAUCUAAAUAUAUAUUAUAUUUUUCAAUAACUUAGCCAUAACAUCAAUUAUUAACAUAUAUAAAGUAUUUUUUCUUUUUUUUAUUCCUUAGACAAACUUACUUUGAUAAAUUUGUCAUGUCUUGGCCAUAAACUUAUUAAAUUUUGACAGAUUUAGUGAUGAUUCCACAAAUUUAAUUUCUUUGGCCACAAAUUUAUUUAAUUUUGAUAGAGUUAUGUAGCAUCGAUAGAUUUAAUUUUAUAUAGCCACAAAUUUACUUCAAUUUGAUAGAUUUACUUAAGAUUCGAUAGAUUUAUUUUUAUUUUGGCAACAAGUUUACUUUAUUUUGACACAUUUAAUUAAAACCUGAUAGAUUUAUUUUUAUUUUGGCCACAAAUUUACUUUAUUCUAAUAGAAUUAAUUUGAAUCUGAUAGAUUUGUUUUUUCUUUAGUGACUAAUUUAUUUAAUUUUGAAAAAUAAUAAUUUGGAUUCGAUAGACUUUUAUUUGUUAUUCUGACAAAAAAAUUACUAUAUUUAAUCAAAUUUGAAUGGUUAUACAAAAUUGUAACAAACAGUUUAAAUCCAAAAAUAGUAAUUUUAACCAUAACCAUCCAAACAGUACACGAGUUGUUAAAUAAAACAGUAACAACCCAGUUAACUUUUGUAAAAAUCGAAACCAUUUUUGCUUCAUUUCUUAGUGUGUUCACUACUUCAGCUACAUGUAAGAAAAGAUUACCCAACGCCUCCACUCAAAGAAAUUAGACUCAGCAAAUGCAUAAUAAUGUGUCCUUUUUUAUGUAAGAUGGCUGAUGUACUUCUGGGGCAGAGCGAAGUUACACGGUCUGGAAGAAGAACGUCUCCUUCUAUGGAUCAGCCGUAGCAGCGGGAAAUCUACGACUUCUCACGAUUCCUUAGAUGUGGAAAGAGGAUUGAUAGAGCUAAGGAAACUGGGGACAGAGCAACAGCUAUGGGAAGCUUCUCGGAGAGAAAUUGAUCAGCUUCCAU